GAGAGAGAUUACAAAGUUGGAAACCUUAAUUUCUCUUCUUCUUCACUUCGGCCAGCAAGUCUACGGGAGUUUUUCCUCAAUUUUCAGAGGUUUUUUGGUGGAAUCUAAGAGCUCAAUUCGAGCGAGAUAUGAUAUUCAAUCUGAGAUUCUUGGAAGACAAUUUCUAAUCUCAUGGGAUCUGGCAGUAAAGGGAAACAUCCGUCGACAUUCAGAUAUUCGCUAAUUACUUCCUCUGGAUAUAUGGCUUAAUCUUAUCUGAAUGUAUACCAUGCUGGAUGGGAUUCUGCUUGGACGGGCCACUCGCUCCUCGUUCGAAUCAACUGGUCGCUUAUGGAUCUGGCCCAGCUAUUUUAUUUGGGCCCUCUGUUGGGCCUGGGGUAUUUAAGUUGUAUUCGUUAUAGAACUUCCACAUGUCCCUAACUGGAAAUACGGAUAACAGUAUCCAACCAAUAUUUUGUUGGAAUUAUUUUACCAGGAUCUAGAUUUACUACCAUGUAUGUUGUUUAACAUCCUAAUAUGAAUUUCUAAAACAAUGAAAUAAACACAUAUAAAGUUUGAGAAACCUUACA